AGUUCAGAGCAGGGUGAGGUCAUGGAGACUUGCAGUAAGCUGGGAAGGUUUCAAAGACUAGGAGGAACAGGGGCUGACCUGGAACAUGGUGCGCAUUUGGAGAGGCAGAGGAGAGGAGCCUUCACAUUAAAUGGCAAAAACACCAGCCUUGGAGCAAGAUCCACGUCAACUUGGAAGUCUCUCAGGACACAGCGACUGCUCAAUACAUCUUGGUGAAUGCAGAGGACUGUUCAAACCUCAAAGGUUGGCAUCUCAGGCAGAGGUAAGUUUUUGACUUGGUGAUUUUAUGGACCCUUUUAAUUACUGCUGCUUUGUGAGGCCAUAUGGAGAGAGGGAAGGCUCACGAACCUCAGAAUUACAGCUUCUAACAUCUGUUUCUAUCCAUCUACCUGAAGGUUACAGACACAGUCUGGCAGGGUGGUUUUGACCUGAACAUAGCAGGCCAGAGUUGCCCAGAGUGGAUGAUCAAGCAUAAGAAACUGACUGUUCAACAAACAUGCCCAAUGCAAGAACAAUGCAUCUAAGGGAGCCAUUACAUUUCCAGCUAUCCAUUUUGGGUGAAUUUCCCCUUUCACCAUCGUUUCACUAAAAAUCAUCAACAGGAUUAGAUAAGUGCUUAUCUGCUAAGGUCAUUCCAGAUGCCGUCCAAAGCUUGAAUUCGGAAAUGAUAAACUCAAGAUGCUCAUCAUCUCAUGAAGAGAGCUGACAUCAGAGCCUACCAGACUACCACAUAGAAAACACCCACAGAGUCUCUCCCACAGGGUGUUUGGACUGAAUGUGAGGCUGGAGCUUCAGCUCAUUGAGCCUGAGGAGCACACUCUCUGGGGAUGGAUGAAAACACACUUGGAAAUUGGAAUCAAUGUGAUUAUUCCAAGCAAAAGAGUAGAGCUCUUAUCCACAUACAAAAUCCUGAUAUUCUGUGCUCUUUGUGUUUCAUUUUCUAGGAAAUGUCUUUUUGCAAUCUCUCUCCAUGAUUAUUACUGCUGAUGAAGAAGUUUUCUGAACUAUGAUGUUCAUGUAGUGAUUGAAAAAUUGUAGAUAAAAUACCCUGCAAAGGAGUUGAAAUGCCUUCUCCACUGUCUAAGUUUUCAGAUUUAUAAUGAAAGGACCAGAUCUGUGUUCCCUACAUUUUAGCCAUGGCCUGCCAUGAAAAUGUAUUUAGUCCAUCCCUGAGCCCAACAGGAAUGUUUCUCUCUCUUUUAUCUACCCACCUAUUUACCUAUUCAACCACCUAUACUUAUUCUACUUACUUAAAAUCAAAUCUAAACUUUGCGGACUAUUUAAUCCUACUGAAUUCUCCUUUCUCUAAAUACCUGCAACAUGGCUAUUGGCAGUGCUCAUUUUAACAGAUAGUAAAUCAUGACUUAGAUUGUUGUCAGGUGUGAUCAACAACACAAAUGCCUACCAAAGACCAGGAGAUGAUGUAAAUAAAACCUACUUCAGGGAGUCAGGUAACAGAGUGCUGGGGACUGGUGUGAACUGGACAAUGAGUGCUGUCAGUAAGGGACAGCCCCCGCUCACUCCAGUCAAUUAGUACCCGCCAGGAAUGCAGGCAAGGGGUAUGGAUCUUCCAGUUUUUCAAGAAAAGUCAGAUAUCCAGAUUUUAUGACUUUUUAAAAUGAUGGUUCCAUCUCACAGAAACACUGUGUGGGCUGAACACAAUGAAUGUUUCACAGUGUGUGUUUGCAGCCUCUGGCACAAGUCUCUUUCCAUGGUGUGGUGAGCGUCUCCAGCUUCCUGUUUCUCAGUGACACAUGGAGGCUCAGACACCACCCAGCAUGUAUAGUAUGUGUCUGAUAGAUGCUUGCCCAAUUUUCUGGAAUACCACAUCCACAUCAAGCAAUUAUUACCUGUAGGGGGUGUAAAGAGAAAUCACCCCACAAAACUCUUUCCCCCCAACCUGGUGGGGCUUGCUGCAUUUGCUUGGCAGGUGUAAAUAAGCCAUUACUAUUUUAUUUUAUGAUUUUUCCAUACUGGGGAUUAAAUCCAGGGCCUUUGCAUGCUAUGCAAGCACUGUACACUGAGCUGCAUCCUCACCCUCCCCUUUUUAUUUUAUUUUGAAACAGGGUUUUGCUACGUUGCCCAGACUAGGCCUUGCCAUCCUCCUGCCUCAGCCUCCCCAGUAGUUGGGACUACAGGUGUGAGCCACUGUUCCUGGCUUUUAUCUCCGCUAAAUAAAAACCCCUCUCAGCCCUCCCUUCCUUUACAGUUGCUACCAACAGCAUGUGCAGCGACCUCUUCUUUAUCAACUCAUUUACUUCUCAGUCAUCCUCCCACAUAGCCUACUCUCCAGAAGUCACUCUGGAUGGGACCACCAGUGAUCCUUGUGGUUCAGUGCAGUGGCACCCAUCAGCCCUGGCCAUCUUCUUAACGACUUGAACCAGUCUGUGCUCUUUGAUACCAUCCAUCCUUGCCUGUUUCUUGACACAAAGCCUUGGCCUUUGGGGCUCUGCUCCUUCUGAAUUUUCUUCAGCCUUUCUGGAUGCUCCCACUCAGGUUCCUUUCCUGCCCAGUCCCUACAUGGCUGAUCUUCUGCAGGUGUCCUGCCAGGCUCUCCCUCCUCCCUCCACUCAGUCACCCGGGGUGACCUUGUCUCUCCCAUGACUCUCUCCCACAUGAGCACUGAUGUGUCCAGCUCCGUCUCCGCUGCAGCUCCAGACUCAUCUAAUCAGCUGCUUUCUGGCAGUGUCUAUCUCCAUUGAAACUUCCAGCUCCGCGCGUCCAAGGCUGAGCUCACCAUGCCCCCUGCGCCACGCGCGGCUCCUCUCCCUGCACUGCUGUUCUUUGCAAGGGACAACAACGUCAUCCACCUAGCGGCCUAAACAUGAAUUCUGUAACUCGGUCCCAGUGUUGGAUUUCCCAAUAAGCACAAACAAGCACAGGCUUGGAACACCACGAAAACAAAAUCAAGGUGCCAAAAAUAUGUUGAAAUAAUUUAGCGCUUAAUAAAAAGCUUCUCAGUGCCAUCCAGGAAAGAGCAGAAACUUGUUGGACUUUCUUACACCUGCAUUAUGACUAUAUUCUAAUUUGACUUUGAAUGAUGUAGGGUGGGUGGACAUAAUCUUGUCAGAGCUUAGGACUCCUAAAGUUCUUCCUAUGGCCUGGUCAUUCUCAGCUGUCCCUUGUCCAUGCCCAAUUGGUUCCUAAGCCCUAUUGAUUUUGCCUCAUUGACAACAAUUGAACCAUCUCUAAUGCUAUCUCCGGGGUUUUCUGUCUGCAGCCUAGAUUGCUUAGAAGCCUCUUGAUCAACUCUCUCUUGCCUCUCACCCAUCCCAGAGCUGUGAUCUGCUUCCUGUAUGUCACUCUCUCCUCCUAAAAUCUCUCCACAGCCACUUGUAACUCAGAGAGGUUCCAACACCUAGGCCAGCCGACAGGGUCACACGCCUGGCCUCUCACCUGGGCCUCCUCAUCUUCCUGCUGCUCUUUCACGUGUAACUUCUUUCCAGAUUUCUCGUUCUGACUCCACCCAUGCAGUCCUCACUCUGUCCCCACCUCAGCUGGGGAAUGAGUCUUCCUGAGACAUAAAGGAAAAUCUGAGCGACUAAAGCUAUAUGGUCCAGAGAGGAAAUUAAUCCUUCCCCUCUGUGGGUGGAAUACGGUCUGUCCUCUCCAAAUGUCCUGUCGAAACAUUACCUCCACUGUGACCUAAUAAGAGGCUAGAAACUUAAACUGAUUAUGGUGUUUAGAGGUGGGUCCUUUGGGAGGUGACCAGGUUCAUCAGGUGGAGCCCACAUAACUGAAUCCUGGUGGCUUCGUCGGAAGAGAGAGAGAUGGGAAGACAAAUGGGUAUGUGC